AAAGAACAUAAAAGGUUCUCAAGUUAUUCUAAUAAGCAUAUUACCUAACUUAAAAUGGGUUUUGGAAAUUUGGAAAUUUUAAAGUAAACAAGCGACAAAAUAUGAAAUAAAAAUCCCUCCAAAGAUUCAUCUAAGUUAAGAAAAUAAAUGUUAGAAGUUAAGAGCAAUUAUCACAAAAUAAGGAAAAUAAAAGUGCGAAGAGAACUUGGACAAAUCUAAGUCCAUUCGCUGCUUCUUAAUUGUUGUUGCUGGCGCAAUUUUCAAACUUUCUUAGUCUGAAAAAUGCAAGUUUCAGCCCUUCGAAACUGCUGUGACCUGUUACUGAGCAGCUGCCAUCAAUAAUAAUUGAAUCAAUAAGUCAAAAAUCCCUAAAAUAUCAGCCCUUUAGGGCAGUUGCGAUCUGCUCACGUUACUUGGGUUUUAAACCCAAUUUUUGCUCCUCGUUUCCCUGCCUUUUCAAGGCUGCUGUUGCUGCUGGUUUGCUUGGGUUUUAACCCAAUAAUACUAGCUUCCCUUUCACGACUCGGAGGAGGUUUGACUCAAGAAGAGGACUAUGCAAGAGAGGGGAGUCCGUGUGAACUCAAUGGAAGCGUGUUCAUGCAUAAUAAGAAAAAGAAUUAGCUAGUAUAGAUGAACUCCAAGGAAAACAUAACGAAUUAAAAUUAUCGUUAAAACUAACCAAACCAGAAACACAUGAUCAUUAAUUAGUCACAGCUUUCAGAACUUAAGUAGUAUGGUAAACUGGACAGAUUUUCUUUUUUUUUUUUUUAAAAAAAAAAGGAAAAACUAAGUCAAUAAACAAGUCAUCUGUAGGCAAAAAAAAUAAGGGAUCAUUGCAGAGAACAUAAAAACCAAAGCAUUCAAUACUAAGCAGCACAUCAACUUUCUUAAGCAAGACACAAGACAAAGAAAAAUAUUUUGAGAAAUGAAGGAACUUAGAAGUAAAUUAUACAUGCAUAGAAGUUGUAUGUGAACUUAAACAAGAUUAUAGUAUUGUAGUCUAUAUUGAAACAUGCAAAACUAAAAUUAAAACAAACAGACAACUUCUUAGCUUUAUCUAGUGUGACUCAAAAAUAAAAACUAAUAAGAGCAAAACACAAAGAUAGGAGAGAAUGCUAAGAAGAGAAAAAUAAAACACUUGAUUUUAUAGCCUUAAGUCUAAUUAACCAACUCAUAGAUUCAAGUUUCAAUCAGCACAUUGCUAGCUAUAAAUUACUCAUCUCUAACUCACAAAAUUACCACACUUCGAUUGAUUUUAACAAAGAGUAAACAAUGAGCUAAAUUAACAAAGUACUAACAUAUAUUAUAUCACUUAGAUGCAUAAUUUAUCCAUACUAACUCUAGGUAAACUAAGCAUAACAGGACUUCAAAAAACUGUACUUGGAAGAAAUCAUUGUAAGGCUAACAUGCUUUACCAUUUCAGAAAUUGAGCGAAUCAACAAAAGAUCACGACUAGUAAAGCAGCACAUGACAUAUGAGCUUCCGAAUAGAACAACACAUCUAUGACAUCCAAUAUUUAAACUAAUAAUCAGCAAAUAGGAUGAAUUCCAAGCCAAGCAAAUGUACACAAUUUAGGAUCUAUAGCUCAAGGAGUGACAUGAGGAUCUAAAGGAUUUAGGAGCAACCAAAGAGAAAUUCAACUUCAUCUAGAGCUCAACUAAACCUAGGAUCAACUCAUGGUUUCCGAACAAAUAAAAUCCUUAACAUAAGAAGCAAGUAAGAAACCCACAUUGUGAAAAAAGGGAACUGGAUGUAAAACGAAGAAAGCAGGGGUUCACUUUAAGGAGCAUAUGUAAAAGUAGAAUUGAGAUUGAGUGCACUCAAAUGAAUCUACAUAUAACAUACAAUUGCUCAAUCCCUUGGACCACAAACGAACUAAAUAGAGUAUCAAAAGUGUCAUACUAAACUAAAGAAACAAGUUCAUAAUAUAAACAACAGUUAAACUCGAACAAAUCACAGCAACAUUUUAAUCAUAUAUUACUUGAGAAAUUUGAUAAAAACGUGAUACAAAACAAUCUUGAACGAUAAAUUUGAGACCUCAAAUUUUAUAAACUUAUAAAUAAACCCCUAUUUCACAGAGACUAAAAUGACAGAAACUAAACCAAGUACUAACAUUUUAACCAUUUUAUGGAGCAAGAGAUAGAUUCUUAAGGAAACAAUAGAGGAGUGACUAUUCAGUCGAGUUAGCAAGGGUAAGGCAUUUUUUAGGUUGUUUUCAAUCACCAGAUGCGAUACAGAAUCGAUCAAGCAAAAUGUGCUAUUAAGUCAAAACAGGAUUUCACAUUUUUACUAAAAGAAAAAUCUGGAAAGAAAAAAAAACAGUAACUCUCUCCAGAAACUAGGAUUGGAAAUUCAAACAACCCACAGGGAAUAAAAGAAACAUUGCUAAUGUACUUGUAAAAUCACCAAUACUUAGGCAUUCAACAAAAAUAUUCAUCAACAUAUAAAUGUUAGGAAACAUACUAGCCUUAAAUCGGCUCUAACACAUAACACAACAACAUAGACUAAAAUUAAACUAAAUAGAAAAGGAAAGGAAAGAGUUACCUGGUUCUGGGCAGCGACUGAAACUGGAGUCCGGAUGUGACGAACUCUACCACCACCCCGACUCAAAAUAGCCGCAAAUCAAUUGAAUUUCAGUGACGAAAAUAAGAGCUCCCAAAAAAACAUAGCGGGGUGCUCUUUUCUUCGCCUCCCAAAAAACCUCCCUUGAACAGUAAGAGGGAGGGGUAUUUAUAGGACCUAAAAUCUCACGAAAUUUGGAAAGAUUUUCGAUGUGGGAUUUUGAGAAUUUUCAAAAUCCCUUAACAUAUAAGGAUUGCCAACUAGUUAGUGUACGAAUUCGUACCAUUUUGAACGAAAUUGAAAAAGGAAAAUCGAAAAUUAUAAGGGUAUUACCGUUGAGGAAUGCAAUGCUGGAAGCUUGAGGCGUCUUUGAGCUCGUACUAUGCACGCGGAGAGUACGAAUUGAAGGAGAAAAGAGGAAAAUUGAGGCGGUGAAUCUGAGGAUUUGAAGUUGGGUUCGUUUGGUUGCUUUCGCUGAGGAAGAAGAAGAAGAAAGAGGUGGGAUCGGGGGGCGUGUAGGAGAGUUCUGUGUGUUCUUUCUAGGAAACAAAAAGAGUGUGUGUGCGCGUGAGGUAAAGGGGAUUAGGAAAAUAGUGGAAUAAAGGGUGUGGGCUGGUUUAAAGCUUUUUGGGGCCAAAAAAUUGGAUUAAAAAGCUGAGGAAAAAUAAGUGGGUUAAGGAACUGGUC
rnacentral:lncRNA from 1 species